GUCGGUUAACUUCUCUGCUAGUUUUAUUGGUGCAGCUAAAGCGGACAAAGUAUAUUGUGAAUAAAAUCUGGCCAAAAAAGUCUUCCCAGAAAUGAUCAAUCAUUUGUCUAAAAGCUGGCCUGACAGCAUAACCGUUGCCAUAAGCCAAGAAAAUCUACAACAAAUGUAUCUCUGCAGUACACUGGACAUUUGGCAUGAUGAGGAACGAGAUCUGUCUACAGUAGGAGCAGAAGGGACGUUUGGACCUACUGCCAGCAGGCUGUAACAGACAGAUGGGUUUUCACACAAACAACAGAAAACAUCAAGAGCAGUCAGGCUGGCACAAGCGGAAGAAGAAUCAGCAAAGGGGAGAAAGUCUGGAUAAUGAGGCACUGCUAGCAGGAGAUGAUAAUUCACUUUGUGCUGGGAGAAGACAAACUGUCCACGCUGUUUAGAGUUCAACUCUUUAGUUGCAAAGCCAUAUGGAUAUUUGGUACACUGUAGUAAGCUGACUGCAGUGAAACAUAAUAAGCAGCAGAUGGCAGGCAAACAUCAGAAUCCCUGUUGCAUCAAUGAAGUUUUGCAAGCAAAGGACAGUACCAAAUCAGGCAUUACACAAAAGCAGGCAGUCCUCUCACCAGUAGAAGGCAGGUGUCUACAAGGCAGAACGUUCCAGAGCGGCCAAUACCAGCGCUGCAGUGGACCACGACAGGACCGUGCUCUAGAC